UGGGGAAUAUUGGACAAUGGGCGAAAGCCUGAUCCAGCCAUGCCGCGUGUGUGAAGAAGGUCUUCGGAUUGUAAAGCACUUUAAGUUGGGAGGAAGGGCAUUAACCUAAUACGUUAGUGUUUUGACGUUACCGACAGAAUAAGCACCGGCUAACUCUGUGCCAGCAGCCGCGGUAAUACAGAGGGUGCAAGCGUUAAUCGGAAUUACUGGGCGUAAAGCGCGCGUAGGUGGUUUGUUAAGUUGGAUGUGAAAUCCCCGGGCUCAACCUGGGAACUGCAUUCAAAACUGACUUACUAGAGUAUGGUAGAGGGUGGUGGAAUUUCCUGUGUAGCGGUGAAAUGCGUAGAUAUAGGAAGGAACACCAGUGGCGAAGGCGGCCACCUGGACUAAUACUGACACUGAGGUGCGAAAGCGUGGGGAGCAAACA
rnacentral:rRNA from 1 species